rnacentral:piRNA from 1 species
UGCUGGAUUGGUAUUUUAAGGAAAAC